ACGGUAGACUCCAAAGCGGCCGUGGUACUCUUCUUGGGUGAGAGAAAAAGUGUGUUCGAUACACACCUACCGUU
rnacentral:tRNA from 1 species